GCAUGCCUGCAUUCUCAGUUACAUGGGAGGCUGAGACAGGAAGAUUGUGGGUCUAAGACUAUCCUGGGCUACACACUGAGACCCUGUCUCAAACAACAAAAGAAAAGAAAAAGCAGACAGUGCGCAUAGCUAUGGUCGGAAGCCACACAGCAAUCAGCUGCUGACCAGAUGUUCUGUCCCCACAGUGUGUGACCCUGUGAUGGGCAACAAGAGGAACGGGGAAGGCUCCAUGGUUGCUGAGUGGCAGAAAAAUCCACAGCCAGGAAGAAGCACUUGAGGGAAGCCUGACGGCUCCA
rnacentral:lncRNA from 1 species